UACGGGGGGGGCAAGCGUUGUCCGGAAUUAUUGGGCGUAAAGGGCUCGUAGGCGGUUUGUCGCGUCGGGAGUGAAAUCCACUGGCUUAACUGGUGGCUUGCUUUCGAUACGGGCAGACUGGAGGUAUGCAGGGGAGAACGGAAUUCCUGGUGUAGCGGUGAAAUGCGCAGAUAUCAGGAGGAACACCGGUGGCGAAGGCGGUUCUCUGGGCAUGUCCUGACGCUGAGGAGCGAAAGCGUGGGGAGCGAACAGG
rnacentral:rRNA from 1 species